rnacentral:rRNA from 1 species
UACGGAGGGUGCAAACGUUGCUCGGAAUCAUUGGGCGUAAAGCGCACGUAGGCGGACUGUUAAGUCGGAUGUGAAAUCCCUCAGCUUAACUGAGGAAGUGCACUCGAAACUGGCAGUCUUGAAUAUGGAAGAGGGUCGCGGAAUUCCCGGUGUAGAGGUGAAAUGCGUAGAUAUGUCAUAGAACACCGAUCGCGAAGGCAGCUCGCCAAACCAUUACUGACACUGAAACACGAAAGUGCGGGGAUCAAACAGG